GACGCCCUCUGGCGGCGCGCCUAACACAUGCAAGUCGAACGAGAGAUGAGGAGCUUGCUCUUCAAAUCGAGUGGCGAACGGGUGAGUAACGCGUGAGGAACCUGCCUCAAAGAGGGGGACAACAGUUGGAAACGACUGCUAAUACCGCAUAAGCCCACGGCUCGGCAUCGAGCAGAGGGAAAAGGAGCAAUCCGCUUUGAGAUGGCCUCGCGUCCGAUUAGCUAGUUGGUGAGGUAACGGCCCACCAAGGCGACGAUCGGUAGCCGGACUGAGAGGUUGAACGGCCACAUUGGGACUGAGACACGGCCCAGACUCCUACGGGAGGCAGCAGUGGGGAAUUUGCACAAUGGGGGAAACCCUGAUGCAGCGACGCCGCGUGGAGGAAGAAGGUCUUCGGAUUGUAAACUCCUGUUGUUGAGGAAGAUAAUGACGGUACUCAACAAGGAAGUGACGGCUAACUACGUGCCAGCAGCCGCGGUAAAACGUAGGUCACAAGCGUUGUCCGGAAUUACUGGGCGUAAAGGGAGCGCAGGCGGGAGAACAAGUUGGGAGUGAAAUCCAUGGGCUCAACCCAUGAACUGCUUUCAAAACUGUUUUUCUUGAGUAGUGCAGAGGUAGGCGGAAUUCCCGGUGUAGCGGUGGAAUGCGUAGAUAUCGGGAGGAACACCAGUGGCGAAGGCGGCCUACUGGGCACCAACUGACGCUGAGGCUCGAAAGUGUGGGUAGCAAACAGGAUUAGAUACCCUGGUAGUCCACACCGUAA
rnacentral:rRNA from 1 species